AUAUAUAUGUCAUGCCCCGGAUUACACGUUCCCCGAGCACGCCGAUAAAUCCGCCGUAUACAAAGAAAUUUUUCCUGUAUACGAAGCGACAGCUGUACCUGUAAAACAUACAAUACCACAAACAGUAGUAUAGAGCUGCUAAAAGAACUAGUAAAGUAAAAGAAACCGAGUUCCAUAUACAUACACUGAAUCCCAGAGUACAAAACUAUUCGCGCUGGCGAGUUAAAAGUCUGUAUGUACAUGAACCCAAACCAAAACAUCUACCUGCAGUAGGGGUGCCUCUAGCUCUGCUCCUCGGGUAGGGUUCUAACUCGCGACGCCCUUGCCUAAAUCCUGAUCAGCAACAGCAGCAGCCGAAGACGAAGGCUCUGCAAAAACGGGAUAACAACUGGGCGUGAGAACUACUGUAGAAACAAGUAGUCCUCAGUGGGUGCCGCCCUCAACAAUUAUCGGUCCACCCACUAAGUCUACAGAAGGUAACAAGGCUAGCAAGAAAAGCUGGAAAGAAAUCUACAGCUAUAUAUCGCUACACUAGCAUGAUCUACACUAACCAACUGUAGUAAAAGUCACAACUGACUCAAUCUCACUAGGGACUGUGAACACACCCGUCCCGCCUGUCGGAUCGAACCCGUAACCUACUCCAAGAGUAGCUGGUGGAGAAAACUCUCUAGGGACUGUGAAUACACCCAUCCCGUCUAAUUAGGUGGCACCGUAGCUCAAGAGUAACCGGCGGAGAAGACUCUCUAGAGACUGUGAAUACACCAGUCUCGUUUACUAGACUACACUGUAUCUCAAGAGUAACCGGCGGAGAAAACUCUCUAAAGACUGUGAAUACACCCAUCUCGCCUAAUUAGAAUACACCGUAUCUCAAGAGUAGUCGGUUCCAGAAAAGGUCUAACAGGACGGCUAAGACUCCACUAACGUCACAACCUCACUAAAGGUAGGGAAAAGCGUCACUCACUAUCUCACCCAGGCUGCCCAAAACGGACCCACCUUGCCUGUAUCUAGCUUCGCCGUACACUACCCCGAGGGUAGCCGGCUCAAGAACUGUCCAACAGAAACUGCGACACUCAUCGCACUGAAACCUCAUUCCGGAAUGGCAUUCGUGGGCGCGACCCAACCGAGUUUACAAGUGUCUCUAUCAAGUUCGUACUGCUCUCACAGGCUAAGGUCAAGUAACCAACUCUAACUGGUCUAACAACUAACAGAUCACGUGCCCUCAGUACAAUCCGUCGCCAAAAAGGCGAUACGGGUCCACCGUCAACCCCGACGGCCCCCAACAGUCCGGAACAGCCUGAAAGUUACUAUAAAAAAAUUCACUCGGCAUUCCAGCACGAACGUAAAUACAUUCUAAUCUACCUGGGAUACUCACUAUGAUGAUACUGCAAUAGUAUAAAAUCAUACAACGGCCC
rnacentral:lncRNA from 1 species